rnacentral:rRNA from 1 species
UAACGAAUCUUCCACAAUGUACGAAAGUAUGAUGGAGCGACGCCGCGUGUAGGAUGAAGUCCUUCGGGAUGUAAACUACUGUCAGGGGUUAGAAAGUUCUGAUCAACCCCAGAGGAAGAGACGGCUAACUCUGUGCCAGCAGCCGCGGUAAUACAGAGGUCUCGAGCGUUAGGCGGAAUCACUGGGCUUAAAGCGUGUGUAGGUGGAUGGGUAAGUACCUUGUGAAAUCCCACGGCUCAACCGUGGAACU